GACGAACGCUGGCGGCGUGCUUAACACAUGCAAGUCGAACGGAAAGGCCCUGCUUUUGUGGGGUGCUCGAGUGGCGAACGGGUGAGUAACACGUGAGUAACCUGCCCUUGUCUUUGGGAUAACUUCAGGAAACUGGGGCUAAUACCGGAUCGGAGCUCCUGCUGCAUUGUGGGGGUUGGAAAGUUUCGGCGGUUGGGGAUGGACUCGCGGCUUAUCAGCUUGUUGGUGGGGUAGUGGCUUACCAAGGCUUUGACGGGUAGCCGGCCUGAGAGGGUGAACGGCCACAUUGGGACUGAGAGACGGCCCAGACGCCUACGGGAGGCAGCAGUGGGGAAUAUUGCACAAUGGGCGGAAGCCUGAUGCAGCAACGCCGCGUGCGGGAUGACGGCCUUCGGGUUGUAAACCGCUUUCGCCUGUGACGAAGCGUGAGUGACGGUAAUGGGUAAAGAAGCACCGGCUAACUACGUG
rnacentral:rRNA from 1 species